rnacentral:rRNA from 1 species
GCCGGGAUAGCGAGGAACUCUGAUGCAGCGACGCCGCGUGAGUGAAGAAGUAUUUCGGUAUGUAAAGCUCUUUUUGCAGGGAAGAAAAUGACGGUACCUGACUAAGAAGCCCCGGCUAACUACGUGCCAGCAGCCGCGGUAAUAUACC